rnacentral:rRNA from 1 species
UACGGAGGGUGCGAGCGUUGCUCGGAAUCACUGGGCGUAAAGCGUACGCAGGCGGAUCGUUAAGUCGGGUGUGAAAUCCCGGGGCUCAACCCCGGAACUGCAUUCGAAACUGGCGGUCUUGAGUACGGGAGAGGGAGGCGGAAUUCCUGGUGUAGAGGUGAAAUUCGUAGAUAUCAGGAGGAACACCGGUGGCGAAAGCGGCCUCCUGGCCCGAUACUGACGCUCAUGUACGAGAGCGUGGGGAGCAAACAGGAUUAGAUACCCUGGUAGUCCACGCUGUAAACGAUGAGUGCUAGCUGGUGGGAAUGUUUACCGUUUCACUGGCGAAGCUAACGCAUUAAGCACUCCGCCUGGGAAGUACGGCCGCAAGGCUAAA